GGGUGGGUAGCUCAGUGGUUAGAGCUUGGAUCUCGUAACGGGAAGGUCCCGAGAUCGAAUCCCGCUGGAGGCG
rnacentral:tRNA from 1 species